GUGAGGAAUAUUGGUCAAUGGGCGCAAGCCUGAACCAGCCAUGCCGCGUGCAGGAAGAAUGCCCUAUGGGUUGUAAACUGCUUUUAUUUGGGAAUAAACCUCUUUACGUGUAGAGAGCUGAAGGUACCAAAUGAAUAAGCACCGGCUAACUCCGUGCCAGCAGCCGCGGUAAUACGGAGGGUGCAAGCGUUAUCCGGAAUCAUUGGGUUUAAAGGGUCCGCAGGCGGACUUAUAAGUCAGUGGUGAAAGCCUACAGCUCAACUGUAGAACUGCCAUUGAUACUGUAAGUCUUGAAUUCGAUCGGAGUGGGCGGAAUGUGUAGUGUAGCGGUGAAAUGCUUAGAUAUUACACAGAACACCGAUAGCGAAGGCAGCUCACUAGGUCUGGAUUGACGCUCAGGGACGAAAGCGUGGGGAGCAAACAGGAUUAGAUACCCCAGUAGUCC
rnacentral:rRNA from 1 species